UCCCUGAUAGCUCAGUUGGUAGAGCGACGGACUGUUAAUCCGCAGGUCCCUGGUUCGAGCCCAGGUCAGGGAG
rfam:Candidatus Profftella armatura, complete genome.